AAGAAUAAGCAUCGGCUAACUCCNUGCCAGCAGCCGCGGUAAUNCGGAGGAUGCAAGCGUUAUCCGGAUUCAUUGGGUUUAAAGGGUGCGCAGGCGGAUUAAUAAGNCAGUGGUNAAAUUCANCGGCUCAACUGUUGACCUGCCAUUGAUACUGUUAGUGCUAGAGUAUAGUUGAAGUGGGCGGAAUGUGUCAUGUAGCGGUGAAAUGCUUAGAUAUGACACAGAACACCGAUCGCGAAGGCAGCUCACUAAGCUAAAACUGACGCUCAUGCACGAAAGCGUGGGGAUCAAACAGGAUUAGAUACCCUGGUAGUCCACGCUGUAAACGAUGAUUACUCGAUGUUGGCGAUACACAGUCAGCGUCUGAACGUAAAGUAUUAAGUANUCCACCGGGGAGAC
rnacentral:rRNA from 1 species